rnacentral:rRNA from 1 species
GUCGAGCGAACAGAUGAAGUGCUUGCACUUCUGACGUUAGCGGCGAACGGGUGAGUAACACGUAAGGAAUCUACCUAUAAGCGGGGGAUAACAUUCGGAAACGGGUGCUAAUACCGCAUAAUAUCUUCUUCCGCAUGGAAGAAGAUUGAAAGACGGCUCUGCUGUCACUUAUAGAUGACCUUGCGGUGCAUUAGUUAGUUGGUGGGGUAACGGCCUACCAAGACGAUGAUGCAUAGCCGACCUGAGAGGGUGAUCGGCCACAUUGGGACUGAGACACGGCCCAAACUCCUACGGGAGGCAGCAGUAGGGAAUCUUCCGCAAUGGGCGAAAGCCUGACGGAGCAAUGCCGCGUGAGUGAAGAAGGCCUUCGGGUCGUAAAACUCUGUUAUAAGAGAAGAACAAAUGUAGAGUAACUGCUACAGUCUUGACGGUAUCUUAUCAGAAAGCCACGGCUAACUACGUGCCAGCAGCCGCGGUAAUACGUAGGUGGCAAGCGUUGUCCGGAUUUAUUGGGCGUAAAGGGAGCGCAGGUGGUUUCUUAAGUCUGAUGUGAAAGCCCACGGCUUAACCGUGGAGGGUCAUUGGAAACUGGGAAACUUGAGUACAGAAGAGGAAUGUGGAACUCCAUGUGUAGCGGUGGAAUGCGUAGAUAUAUGGAAGAACACCAGUGGCGAAGGCGACAUUCUGGUCUGUUACUGACACUGAGGCUCGAAAGCGUGGGGAGCAAACAGGAUUAGAUACCCUGGUAGUCCACGCCGUAAACGAUGAGUGCUAGGUGUUGGAGGGUUUCCGCCCUUCAGUGCCGCAGUUAACGCAUUAAGCACUCCGCCUGGGGAGUACGACCGCAAGGUUGAAACUCAAAGGAAUUGACGGGGACCCGCACAAGCGGUGGAGCAUGUGGUUUAAUUCGAAGCAACGCGAAGAACCUUACCAAGUCUUGACAUCCUUUGACCACCCUAGAGAUAGGGCUUUCCCUUCGGGGACAAAGUGAC